AUUGAACGCUGGCGGCAUGCCUUACACAUGCAAGUCGAACGGCAGCGCGGACUUCGGUCUGGCGGCGAGUGGCGAACGGGUGAGUAAUACAUCGGAACGUACCCUGUUGUGGGGGAUAACUAGUCGAAAGAUUAGCUAAUACCGCAUACGACCUGAGGGUGAAAGUGGGGGACCGCAAGGCCUCACGCAGCAGGAGCGGCCGAUGUCUGAUUAGCUAGUUGGUGGGGUAAAGGCCCACCAAGGCGCCGAUCAGUAGCUGGUCUGAGAGGACGCUCAGCCACACUGGGACUGAGACACGGCCCAGAGUCCUUAGGGAGGCAGCAGUGGGGAAUUUUGGACAAUGGGGGCAACCUUGCUCCAGCAAUGCCGCGUGUGUGAAGAAGGCCUUCGGGUUGUAAAGCACUUUUGUCCGGAAAGAAAUCGCGCUGGUUAAUACCUGGCGUGGAUGACGGUACCGGAAGAAUAAGCACCGGCUAACUACGUGCCAGCCGCCGCAGUAA
rnacentral:rRNA from 1 species